rnacentral:misc_RNA from 1 species
ACACCUCAACUCUCAUGGUUUCCCAUGAUGAGCUUGGACUUGGGAGCUUUGUUGGCCCGUGGUCAGCUCUCCUCAAAUGAAUUAGCUUGCCGGUGUUUGGCAGCGCCAUGGGUGUGAUAACUUAUCUACGCUUGUGACCGCCUGCUAGGUUUCCUCUGAUCGCAGAGGUUCGCCGGAGCUUAUAAACGUCUCUCCUCAGCAGAGACAGCUGUUUGAA